AUUUGGGGCCGGCAGCUGGUGUGGAGGUUAAGACUCUGGAUCCCCCGUGGUCGAGUGUACAGUUUGAGUGGACCCGUGGCUUGAAAAUCAUGCACGUUGCAGGGACUGAGGGGCUCUUUGAUGACUUCGCCUGCUGCCAGCAGAAGGUACCCUCCCCAGGAACUACACAGAAUUGAAGCUCUGAGCCCUGGAUUGUCAGUGCUAGACGUUUGCUUCCAGACUCUUCCUAGGACUGGGAGAUACGCCUCCACCGAGGUCAGCAGACCAAACAUUGUCACCUGUCUUUCAAAGAGCGUUGGUGAGAAGUGAAGUGACACACUCCAGGU